rnacentral:lncRNA from 14 species
GAAGGCCGGUGUGAUUUGACAUCACCGUUCAACUGUUACAACUUCAUUAUGUUCGUGGGGUUGUCUUAUUUUGGACUUCCCUGAAAAACGUUUUGCUCUGCAUGGGGUUUUUGUUAUAAGUCUCACGAAUCUGUUCUUCAAAUUCCCAUUUUUCAUAAAAUGGAUAAAUACAAACUCCUUUUCAGACAUUCAGUACACAGGAGGUGGUUUUUGCCUCAGGAUUCCACUGACCACAGAGGUGUCUGACUUUCACACUGCAGAAAAUCUUCCUUCAGUUGUAAGAAAAGCAUUGCAGAUUUUCAGGACAGAUACAAAGAACAGGAAUUGGAAUUUGUUCCAUUUGUGGGUGCCUUUGGGUGAGUGAACAUUGCCAAGCACAGUAAAUUGAGGAUGGAUUUGCACAAAGGAGCAAAAAGCUUGGAUGGAAGAAGAGAACAAGUGAGGGGAAAAUUACUCGAGGGUCUCAGAGCAAAGGGGACUGUAGCAGCCUUGAUCUGAAUGGGCUGGAUGUAAGUCAGGCAGGGGGCUGAAACUCUGCAAAGCCAUGGGGAAAGAAAGACUGAAUCUUUAGGAUGUUGUUUAGGAAGAAGUAUCACUGAACCACCACCUUGAAGAAAUCAUCAUGUGAGUAACAGGUGAUUUAGCUCAGGAAGCUGCAGUGACAUCUCUUAUUGAGCAAGGGAGCACCAUUUAUUGACAAGACUGUUGUUAGUGUUUGCCAAAGACAGUUGUAAGGAGCUCA